ACUCCUACGGGAGGCAGCAGUGAGGAAUAUUGGACAAUGGGCGAGGGCCUGAUCCAGCCAUGCCGCGUGCAGGAAGAAUGCCCUAUGGGUAGUAAACUGCUUUUAUACGGGAAGAAAAAGGGGCACGUGUGCCCUGUUGACGGUACCGUAAGAAUAAGGACCGGCUAACUCCGUGCCAGCAGCCGCGGUAAUACGGAGGGUCCGAGCGUUAUCCGGAAUUAUUGGGUUUAAAGGGUCCGUAGGCGGGCCGGUAAGUCAGGGGUGAAAGUCUGUAGCUCAACUAUAGAACUGCCUUUGAUACUGCCGGUCUUGAGUCACGGUGAAGUUGCCGGAAUAUGUGGUGUAGCGGUGAAAUGCAUAGAUAUCACAUAGAACACCGAUUGCGAAGGCAGGUGACUAACCGUGUACUGACGCUGAUGGACGAAAGCGUGGGGAGCGAACAGGAUUAGAUACCCUGGUAGACAUCAC
rnacentral:rRNA from 1 species